rnacentral:other from 1 species
CGGGUUCUGCGCCUCUCGUGAGCGGCAUUUUUCCAGUGGCCGAUAAUCAUCUCCGAGGGAGCUGGCUCUGCCGGGAUCGUGGUCUCGGUAACUGGCGCCCACCUGGUAUAUCCAGGCUCUCGGGAAAAACACGCUGCCACGGUUGCCGUGGUUCCCGC